GACGUAGGUGGCGAACGGUAUCCGGAAUUAUUGGGCGUAAAGGGUGCGUAGGCGGCAUGAUAAGUUAUUGGCGGCAAAUCGAGGCUCAACCUCGUGGAAACUGAUAAUACUGUCUUGCUUGAGUGCAGAAGAGGUUAACGGAACUCCAUGUGGAGCGGUAAAAUGUGUAGAUAUAUGGAAGAACAUCAAUAACGGCGAAGGCAGUUAACUAUUCUGUUACUGACGUUGAGGCACGAGAGCGUGGGGAGCAAAAAGG
rnacentral:rRNA from 1 species